GACGAACGCUGGCGGCGUGCUUAACACAUGCAAGUCGAACGAUGAAACCUAGCUUGCUAGGUCGAUUAGUGGCGAACGGGUGAGUAACACGUGACUAACCUGCCCCUUUCUCUGGGAUAACGCUCCGAAAGGAGUGCUAAUACCGGAUACUCACAUCGAGGCACAUGCCUUGAUGUGGAAAGUUUUUCGGAAAGGGAUGGAGUCGCGGCCUAUCAGCUUGUUGGUGAGGUAACGGCUCGCCAAGGCGACGACGGGUAGCCGGCCUGAGAGGGCGACCGGCCACACUGGGACUGAGACACGGCCCAGACUCCUACGGGAGGCAGCAGUGGGGAAUAUUGCACAAUGGGCGCAAGCCUGAUGCAGCGACGCCGCGUGAGGGAUGAAGGUCUUCGGAUUGUAAAUCUCUUUCAGUAGGGACGAAGCGAAAGUGACGGUACCUAAAGAAGAAGCACCGGCUAACUACGUGCCAGCCGCCGCGGUAA
rnacentral:rRNA from 1 species